UACGUAGGGACCAAGCGUUGUUCGGAUUUACUGGGCGUAAAGGGCGCGUAGGCGGCGUGGUAAGUCACUUGUGAAAUCUCCGAGCUUAACUCGGAACGGUCAAGUGAUACUGCUGUGCUAGAGUGCAGAAGGGGCAAUCGGAAUUCUUGGUGUAGCGGUGAAAUGCGUAGAUAUCAAGAGGAACACCUGAGGUGAAGACGGGUUGCUGGGCUGACACUGACGCUGAGGCGCGAAAGCGUGGGGGAGCAAACAGG
rnacentral:rRNA from 1 species